rnacentral:tRNA from 1 species
GGAUGGGUUCCCGAGCGGCCAAAGGGAGCAGACUGUAAAUCUGCCGUCAGCGACUUCGAUGGUUCGAAUCCAUCCCCAUCCACCA